rnacentral:rRNA from 1 species
UACGAAGGGUGCAAGCGUUACUCGGAAUUACUGGGCGUAAAGCGUGCGUAGGUGGUUUGUUAAGUCUGUUGUGAAAGCCCCGGGCUCAACCUGGAAUGGCAAUGGAUACUGGCAAGCUAGAGUGCGGUAGAGGGUAGUGGAAUUCCCGGUGUAGCGGUGAAAUGCGUAGAGAUCGGGAGGAACACCAGUGGCGAAGGCGGCUACCUGGACCAGCACUGACACUGAGGCACGAAAGCGUGGGGAGCAAACAGG